GCGAGACCUUCGGGUCUAGCGGCGGACGGGUGAGUAACGCGUGGGAACGUACCCUCUUCUGCGGAAUAGCCACUGGAAACGGUGAGUAAUACCGCAUACGCCCUUCGGGGGAAAGAUUUAUCGGAGGAGGAUCGGCCCGCGUUGGAUUAGGUAGUUGGUGGGGUAAUGGCCUACCAAGCCUACGAUCCAUAGCUGGUUUUAGAGGAUGAUCAGCCACACUGGGACUGAGACACGGCCCAGACUCCUACGGGAGGCAGCAGUGGGGAAUCUUAGACAAUGGGCGCAAGCCUGAUCUAGCCAUGCCGCGUGUGUGACGAAAGGCCUUAGGUCGUAAAGCACUUCGCCUGUGAAUGAUAAUGACAGUGC
rnacentral:rRNA from 1 species